GGAUUAGAUACCCUGGUAGUCCACGCCGUAAACGAUGAGAGCUAGUUGUCUGGCAGCAUGCUGUUAGGUGACGCAGCUAACGCAUUAAGCUCUCCGCCUGGGGAGUACGGCCGCAAGGUUAAAACUCAAAGAAAUUGACGGGGGCCCGCACAAGCGGUGGAGCAUGUGGUUUAAUUCGAAGCAACGCGCAGAACCUUACCUACCCUUGACAUACCAAUCGCGAUUUCCAGAGAUGGAUUUCUUCAGUUCGGCUGGAUUGGAUACAGGUGCUGCAUGGCUGUCGUCAGCUCGUGCCG
rnacentral:rRNA from 1 species